AGCUUUGCGCAGUGGCAGUAUCGUAGCCAAUGAGGUUUAUCCGAGGGGCGAUUAUUGCUAAUUGAAAAAAAAAAAAAAAAAGAAUGCUCCUCAAACUCUCCCAAAAAAUUGAAGAGAAGGAACUAUAUUCAUUCUAUGA